rnacentral:rRNA from 1 species
GGGAAGGCCCAGACAGCCAGGAUGUUGGCUUAGAAGCAGCCAUCAUUUAAAGAAAGCGUAAUAGCUCACUGGUCGAGUCGGCCUGCGCGGAAGAUGUAACGGGGCUAAACCAUGCACCGAAGCUGCGGCAGCGACACUGUGUGUUGUUGGGUAGGGGAGCGUUCUGUAAGCCUGUGAAGGUGUGUCGUGAGGCAUGCUGGAGGUAUCAGAAGUGCGAAUGCUGACAUAAGUAACGAUAAAGCGGGUGAAAAGCCCGCUCGCCGGAAGACCAAGGGUUCCUGUCCAACGUUAAUCGGGGCAGGGUGAGUCGACCCCUAAGGCGAGGCCGAAAGGCGUAGUCGAUGGGAAACGGGUUAAUAUUCCCGUACUUGGUGUUACUGCGAAGGGGGGACGGAGAAGGCUAUGUUGGCCGGGCGACGGUUGUCCCGGUUUAAGCGUGUAGGUGUGUGUUCCAGGUAAAUCCGGUUCACUUUAACACUGAGGCGUGACGACGAGGCACUACGGUGCUGAAGCAACAAAUGCCCUGCUUCCAGGAAAAGCCUCUAAGCAUCAGGUAACAUCAAAUCGUACCCCAAACCGACACAGGUGGUCAGGUAGAGAAUACCAAGGCGCUUGAGAGAACUCGGGUGAAGGAACUAGGCAAAAUGGUGCCGUAACUUCGGGAGAAGGCACGCUGACACGUAGGUGAAGUGAUUUACUCAUGGAGCUGAAGUCAGUCGAAGAUACCAGCUGGCUGCAACUGUUUAUUAAAAACACAGCACUGUGCAAACACGAAAGUGGACGUAUACGGUGUGACGCCUGCCCGGUGCCGGAAGGUUAAUUGAUGGGGUCAGCGCAAGCGAAGCUCCUGAUCGAAGCCCCGGUAAACGGCGGCCGUAACUAUAACGGUCCUAAGGUAGCGAAAUUCCUUGUCGGGUAAGUUCCGACCUGCACGAAUGGCGUAAUGAUGGCCAGGCUGUCUCCACCCGAGACUCAGUGAAAUUGAACUCGCUGUGAAGAUGCAGUGUACCCGCGGCAAGACGGAAAGACCCCGUGAACCUUUACUAUAGCUUGACACUGAACAUUGAGCCUUGAUGUGUAGGAUAGGUGGGAGGCUUUGAAGUGUGGACGCCAGUCUGCAUGGAGCCGACCUUGAAAUACCACCCUUUAAUGUUUGAUGUUCUAACGUGGACCCGUUACCCGGGUUGCGGACAGUGUCUGGUGGGUAGUUUGACUGGGGCGGUCUCCUCC